UGCUUGAUGACGUGGCAGCCAAGACAUGCAGCCUCCUAGGACGGAGCCUUAUUUAAAAAAAAAAGAAAAGGACGGAGCCUUAUUAAUUUUUAUUUUAUAUAUGUAUAAUGUACCCCCUUGUAUUUCUUAUUAUUUAAAAAAAAUAUUAAAAAUAAUUUUAAAAGGACGCAGUUGUGCGUUUGAGAAACGACCGGAAACGACUUAUAUGUCGCGAGGCCAUCACGUGACCACAAUAUUUACCAGAAGACCGUUAUUUGCUCGAGUGCCCUCAACUUUUUUGUCGCAAAUAACAUUAUUAAUAACCUGUAAAUAAUACAUUUUGUACACAUUACGUUACUCUUCACUUUGUAAUAGUAUGUUUUUGGUUUAAUAGUCGGCUUUAAGUUAGUUUUUCUGUCAGUUUGAUCGUCAAAAUGUUGAAAGUUAUCUGCAGCCACACAUCCACUGUAUACCAAGUUAUGAUGAUCAAUUAUGAAAAUGCAAAAGGAUUGAUAGAUCAGUAAACAAGCAACAAAAAGCUUUACAAAAAAUGUAGAAUUUGUAGGAGCAUGGACAUCUGAGUAACAAAGUCAUAUUAUGCAGAUGGGUGCUCAUGGUGGCCUCCAAAUAAAUACAUGGCAGGCUGCUAAAGAGGGUCAGGAUGAUGGAGAUGCAAGAGUCAAAGACAGCACGGACCAAACACCAGGCCAGAAUUCUGCAUGAGUCAGCUGUAAAAAAAACAAAAGAAUGAAACAGUACCUGCAUUUAAGUUUCCAGCCUUUUUCACAAAGUUGCUGACAACUGGAAGAAUGUCCCAAAUUGCUGCAAAAAGAAAUUCAAUUGAGUAAUUUUCACUCUAGAGACCCUGGGGUGACCACCAAGGACGAAUGCAAACUCCAGUGAGUGUCUCUAAGGUAGAUCCUAAUGCAGAUGGAUGGAAUGUUGAUCCGCCUAACAUGCAAGGUAAAAGAGCAUUUGAUAGCAUAGUGGAUAAACAAAGCUUUUUUCAUUUUCAGAGCAUUUUCAAAAACAACAUAACACUUGCUAUUACAUUGUUAUAUAUUACAUGACCAUGUCUAACUCUGAUCCAUACAAAACAGAUUUUCUGUACCGAGAACUUUGGAUGACCACGUUUUCAAAAAUCUGACCUCAAUUUUAGUAACCAUUUAGAUAUUUUAGAUGUAGUCCGAGAGCUUGCUGACCCUCCAUUAAAAAUGUAUGUACGGUAUACUGUUCAUGUCCAGAAAGGUAAUAAAAACAU